GUCUCUGGUAUUAUUGUCCAAUCACUUUGCAGUGCAUCCAUAUCGAAUUAUAUACAUACACAGCAAUGUAAUAACCGCAUCUAACUAGCAUUAUUCUGUGGAAACUAUCAGCUAAUAUGUUCACAUCCAACAUCCAACAGUCAUCUUCUAUGUAGAAAAAUUGCUUUAUCGCAAUUAACCUAUAACUUAUUCGACAUAAAGAAGAGAGUGGAUAUUUUCACAUUUAGUACGUUCAUGAAUGAAAAACGGAUAUAAAUAUGAAUGGUGCUGUUUUUGUGGGCACGUUUAUGACUGCUUUUCUAGGCCUUCAUGUUGGCUGGUACGUUAUACAACAUAAGCAUGUACCUCCAGAACAAAGGCAUGAGCAUCCUGUUGUACGUUUGUAUCGACGUUACAUGAAGACAGAGUAGCAAAGUUUCAUAAUAGUGUUUUUCAUUUUUACUAUGUCUAGAGAAGAUGUUUAUUUGUAAAUAUAAAUAGUUCAAUACUACAAAUGUUUCCAUUUUUAUGAAGUGAAGAUUAAACAAGUGACAACAACAGAGUAAUGGUAAAAAUAAAUAUAGGUGACUCUCGAUUUACAUAUAAAGUUCUGUUCCAAAACAUUAUUUGUUACAUGUUUUGGCUCGUAAUGUGUAUUCACAUCUUAGAGUAUAUGAAAUAUGCACAUGUCAGUAGUAGUCAUUUUAAGAAAUUAAAAUUAUAUACAAAGUAUCCAAUAGUUUAUUUAACAUUUUAUUAUAAUAUGAUAUGUAUAUGUAUCUAAUGCAUAAUACAAAUGAGAUACAAAAGAACAUUUGUAAACUGAGAGUUGUCUGUAUGUUUAUUUAUUGCUGUACUAUGUCAUUAAUAUCCCUUCUGUAUUUCUUUAUGGUGUAUGGUAUUAUAAUGUAUUAAUUGUCACUGAAAGCAAUAUAAGUAGAAUGCUUUCCAAAGACAAUUAGGUAUUACUUUCUAGCUAUAUCCAAACUGUCAAGAUGAGUAGAAUAAACCAUCUUUUUAGCUCAUAUACCUUAAGGGAGUAUUCUAGUCUAGUACUUUCAAAAUACUUACAGAUUUUUGUUUGUUUAUUCUUAAAGUGUGGACCUUUAAAAAUAUAUCUGCUAAAGGAUAUAUUUAUUAUAUUUUUCUAUGGAUAUGACAGUACAAAAUGAUUGUUUUGUACAAAAUUUUAUUUUAAGACGUACAUACAAUGUACAUACAAUAAAUAUGUAUACAUGGAAAUCAUGCUAAAGAACAAAAUCUCUUUAUGAGCUCAAAGACAAACGUGCAAGUAUAAAUAAAAGUAGGCAGGUGAUCGAAGUCCUGCUGAUGAUGCAUGGAGGAGCUUUUCGGCCGAUUUUCACUUUGACUAUGUACUGAAGCACCAGGCUUAGGAAGUUGGGGGUACGAAAGGUCGUUCACCCCUAAGUAUGUACGCAGAGGGCUAGAGUCACGUCGAGAAGUGGAGGAACUAAAGACAACAUACUUCGUUAGAUUUUCUGACAACGCUUUGAGAAUGGAUAACAGGUGGUAUCGUCGUAAACUGAUCUGCACGUCCCUGGUGAUGGUGUCCAUAUUCAGAGAUUGCUGUUUCUCGGUGUUGGGGCAACACUUCAUGAUCCUUCGUCUUGGUAUCCU